GAUGAACGCUGGCGGCGUGCCUAAUACAUGCAAGUCGAGCGAACGGACGAGAAGCUUGCUUCUCUGAUGUUAGCGGCGGACGGGUGAGUAACACGUGGAUAACCUACCUAUAAGACUGGGAUAACUUCGGGAAACCGGAGCUAAUACCGGAUAAUAUUUUGAACCGCAUGGUGCAAAAGUGAAAGACGGUCUUUCUGUCAGUUAUAGAUGGAUCCGCGCUGCAUUAGCUAGUUGGUAAGGUAACGGCUUACCAAGGCAACGAUGCAUAGCCGACCUGAGAGGGUGAUCGGCCACACUGGAACUGAGACACGGUCCAGACUCCUACGGGAGGCAGCAGUAGGGAAUCUUCCGCAAUGGGCGAAAGCCUGACGGAGCAACGCCGCGUGAGUGAUGAAGGUCUUCGGAUCGUAAAACUCUGUUAUUAGGGAAGAACAUAUGUGUAAGUAACUGUGCACAUCUUGACGGUACCUAAUCAGAAAGCCACGGCUAACUACGUG
rnacentral:rRNA from 1 species